UACGGAGGGUGCUAGCGUUGUUCGGAAUUACUGGGCGUAAAGCGCGUGUAGGCGGCCCGCUAAGUCUGAUGUGAAAGCCCGGGGCUCACCCCCGGAAGUGCAUUGGAGACUGGCGGGCUCAAGUCCCGGAGAGGAGGGUGGAAUUCCUGGUGUAGCGGUGAAAUGCGUAGAUAUCAGGAGGAACACCGGUGGCGAAGGCGGCCCUCUGGACGGUGACUGACGCUGAGACGCGAAAGCGUGGGGAGCAAACAGG
rnacentral:rRNA from 1 species